ACGAGUUUGAUCCUGGCUCAGAUUGAACGCUGGCGGCAUGCUUUACACAUGCAAGUCGAACGGUAACAGGCCUUCGGGUGCUGACGAGUGGCGAACGGGUGAGUAAUGCAUCGGAACGUGCCCAAUCGUGGGGAUAACGUAGCGAAAGUUACGCUAAUACCGCAUAAGCCCUGAGGGGGAAAGCAGGGGAUCGCAAGACCUUGCGCGAAUGGAGCGGCCGAUGUCAGAUUAGCUAGUUGGUGGGGUAAAGGCCUACCAAGGCGACGAUCUGUAGCGGGUCUGAGAGGAUGAUCCGCCACACUGGGACUGAGACACGGCCCAGACUCCUACGGGAGGCAGCAGUGGGGAAUUUUGGACAAUGGGCGCAAGCCUGAUCCAGCCAUGCCGCGUGCGGGACGAAGGCCUUCGGGUUGUAAACCGCUUUCAGCCGGAAAGAAAUCGCCAAGGCUAAUAUCCUUGGUGGAUGACGGUACCGGAAGAAGAAGCACCGGCUAACUACGUG
rnacentral:rRNA from 1 species